GCAAUUUGGUGAGUUCCCCAGCAAGUCCACUACCCACAGGUGAGUGAUUCCCUCCAGCACCUCCUGUACCCCCAGGUGAGUGAUUCCUUCCUGCACCUCCUGGACCUCGAGGUCCCCCUGUCCCUGCAGCAUCACCUCUGCUGCAGACAUGGGGCUGUGCAGGGCCCAUGCACAGAGAAGAAGGGCUGGGAAUGUGGAUGGAUGCUGGGUUGAGCCAGGGAUGCUCCAAGGUCUACCCUGUGCACUGAUGAGCCUAUGGCAGGGAAGCAAUACAAGAGAUCAGGGUCUGCUCAGCAUCUCGGAUUGCCCCAACUCGGAGGUCGAAGGACUCACAGAGUGCUCAUGUCUCCCACAGGCAGCAGCCCCUCACACAAGGCCCAGCUCCCUUCCAGAGGCUCAGCCAUGCCCCUGGAGGUCUGGAUCCUGCACUCUGCCCUCAGCCUGCUCCUGCUGCUGUCUGCCCCCAUCAUCACCCUCCUCCUGGAGAGAUGCAGCCAUGGUGCCCGUGAGGCCAGGCAGCCUGGAGACGUCCCUGUCCCCAUGGAGCUCUGAUGUCCUCCUGGGCUCCAUGCUGCCCCCAGCCUGCUCCACAUGCUCAGAGCAAGACCCGCACACAUUUGCCAGACUCCCACUGCCGUUGGUCUCAAGGCAGCUGUGGCAGCAUGCCCAAGGGAUGUGCUGCCACUGCUCUGCUUCCCCUGGCUCAGCGCCUGCUCUCUGCUCACAUCAAGGAUUGCCACUGCAUGUGCACCCUCCUGGCUGCAUUCAACACGAACACCCACGUUGCUUUGCCUCCUGCCCACAGAAUCACAUCUCCAUCAAGGGAUCCUCCUCUGCACACCAGGAGAACACAAGGGGAAGGAGUCACGGCUGCACGCCCAGGCAGCCAUGCUCUGCAGCUCCUGCAUCACUCCAGCACCUCCCUGUGCCCAAGGUGCCGACCACAAUGGGCACAUCCCCAGGUGCUUAUGGUGCCCUGUGUGGAGGCACUUGGUGGGUAUUGGUCCUGUGGGAGGUGAAUUAUAAAGGAUUGGCUCAGAAUGCACCAUCUGAUGUUGCUGCUCUAUAUUUGAGAGGGAAGCCAGUGAGCAGAGCUGGGAGAGCUCCUCUUUGACUGCUGUGUGGGGCCAUGUGUCCUGCGAGGGAGCUGCUGUUCUCUGUGCCCUGGCACCCAAGAGUUCCCCUACCUGAUGGCAUUGCCCUGGCAGAUGUGUCAUGGAAAAGUGCUGCUGUGAGGAUGGCUGAGCCCAUGAGGAUGACUGGGGGUGGCCAUGCCUGGCACUGUACCCCACACCCACCCAUCCGUGUGCUGGGUCUUCUGUCUCUCAGCCGCACUUUUUUCUAUCCUGAGCCAAGGACCUGUCAUGUUUUGACAAAUGCUGUAACCUAGUGUACUUUUCCUCAUUGUAGUAUCAUUAUAAUACCAAAACACACCUCCAUCCCAAAAGCUGCCUGCCUCCAAUGUGCGACCAUCCCUCACUGAGCAUGAUCUCUGAAGUCUCGGAGCCUUUUUCUUUAACUGAAAUGGGAAAACGUUUCACCAAUCAUAACUAAGAUAUGCUUGACUAGAGUCACUCAAGCUCCACCUAAAAGAUAGAAAAUAAUAUAAAUUGGCCUAAGAGAAAGGGGAUGUUGGGGAAGAUACCACUGUCAGGGGAGAUACCACCCUGAGGGAAUACACCAUCCUGAGGACCUCCUGACUCCUGGGAUCAGUUGUCAUAGCUGAGCUUCUCUUCCACCUUCUGCCCCCAUUGAGAGGCCUUUGUGUGAGAUUUGAACACUUGGUUAUACUGUGUGUCUCUGCAGAAACUUUGAAAUCUCUAUAGAGUCUUUGUGCCUUUUAGCGCAUUAAUUUACAGGCCACUCACCUGUGUUACCUAUGUCACCUGUGUAUUUCAUGCAUGCUAGCUUGCUUUUGCAGACAGUAACUAUGGCUGGCAAUCCAAAGAACCUGUGUACCUGGUGCUGUAAUAAAUCGCACUUGAAUGCAUUGUUCCUACCCA
rnacentral:lncRNA from 1 species